rnacentral:pre_miRNA from 7 species
GACAAAGCUUGGAGCUGAAACUGAAAGACCCCCGAAGGGAGACCCUCACUCAGACACUCAAGUCCCGGGACAGCUGCGUACCCAAGAAGACACUGAGACCA